UCUCUUAGUUAUUUGUCUAUAGGAAUAGUACCAUAUUGUCUAGGCACAAGAGGUGUUAGUCCUAUGUACCUUUUAUAUUCAGCCCAUGGGGCACAAUGGAAAUCAAGCAAUGAAUUAUGAAGAAACAAUUCUAGUCUCCCUCAAUCUCUCAAGCUCUUGGCAAAGCAUAAGGCCUAGUUAUCCCAAAGCUCUUGGCAAAGCAUAAGGCCUAGUUAUCUAUCUCCCAAAUAUCCACCGCGUUCAUAACACCUGGUAUCUAGAGAGUCCAGCGAUCCUCCUCCAUCAGCUAGAUCCUCCAUCAGCCGAAUCCUCCAGCACUUCCGAUCCUCCAUCAGCCGUUUCCAAAAAAAAAAAGAUACUGAUCCAGAUCAUCGCGUCGCCUACCUCAUCCAUCGUACCGCGCCGCCACAGCAACGCCACCAGCCGCCGCCGCACCCCCAUCACCACAGCCGCUGCGCCGUAGCCCCAUCACCACCAUCCACCGCCGCCACAAUCAUCGAUCCAGAUCCACCACAACACACCGCCGCUGCCACGCUUUGCCUCGAUGAACUUCCCUAAAUUUGCGGGGAAAUCUGAUCCUGUGGGCUUCGUCAACCAGUGCGACUCCUACUUCCGCCGAGAGCGCAUCAUGGAGGAAGAAAAGGUAUGGCUGGUUUCCCGUAAUUUGGAAGAUGACGCCCGGGUUUGGUUCCUACAAGUCCAGCAUGCUGAAGGCACCCCGGCGUGGCGUCGCUUCACCGAGCUCCUGCACCUGCGCUUCACAUCGCCCCCGUGCCCCGACCUGCUCCACCAUGUGUCUCCUGCUGCCAACGACACUUCCCGCAUCUUUGCUGAUAUAUUCACGCGGCUGGAUCGGAUCAAGGAGUUGCUCAACGCGAAGGAUAAGAAGGACCGUGAAUGCCAGGCGGCUGUACGUCUCCAGGCAGCAGCACGAAGACUCCUGGCUCGUCGCCGAGCACAGGCUCUUCGUGCCACAAAAGCAUCGAAGGAGCAAGCAACGGUGCGCCUCCAGGCAAUAGUGCGAGGAAUGCUUGUCCGUCGCAUGGUGCGGCAGAUACGCGUGCUCCUCAGCUCGACGUUGUCGUACGUGUUCAUCCACUCGGACUCGCCGAUACGGCCUGCGGCUCCAAUUGCAGUGGAGGUCCAAGUAUGGGCGUUUCUAGUGCAGCGACCUCGCAUCCAGCAUCAGGCAUCAAAGGCUAUCUCAUUUAUCCUUGUGCCUGCCGUGGUGCUAGACACUUUCAGCAUAAGGGCCAGCUGCUUCACACUCCACACUUCAGCCUACAUGAAGCCAGCAGAGGCGCUCUUUCCAUGGGAUCCAGUUGGAUAUCUUUGUAUUUUAGUCUUCAAUAAAAAGGGGAAGCCGAGAUGUAAAAGGCUAACCCUAUUUCGCUUCAGCUCUCCAGCUCGAGGACGAGCUGGGUCUCCAAGGGCGGGGGAGAUGUCAUGGGCAUAAAGAGGGGCGCCGUAGGGCGCAAGUGUCCUAGUUGGGCCUUAAGCCCAUUAGUGUUAAUUAGUGUCUCUCUUAGUUAUUUGUCUAUAGGAAUAGUACCAUAUUGUCUAGGCACAAGAGGUGUUAGUCCUAUGUACCCAUACCUGGGCAACGGGCCGGCCCGGCCCGGCACGGCACGACAACGGGCCGGCACGACACGUUCCUUAACGGGCUGAAGGGGCACGUCGUGCCCUGCGGGCCGUGCCUUACCGGCCUGCGUGCCUGACCUUCGGCCCAGGCACGGCACGGCGGGCCUUUUUACGUGCCCGUCAGGCACGGUAAAAAUAGAGGGCCGGGCCAGCCCAUAGCCCGUUGAACAGAUAACAUCUCAAUAAAUACAUAUUUAAAAUCAGAUUUCAAACAUAUUCAUAUUCAUCAAUCAUCAGUUAGAUACUUAGAUAACAGAUUCAAACACAGAUGAGAGUUGACAGAUGUAAAUAUCAAAAUGAGUUGUUUGGUGCAAUGCUGCCUCAUUAAAAACCUACCUAGGUAAAACUCACCCUUGUGAGAAACCCUAGGCAGGGAAAAAGAGUGCAGCCAGCUCUAAAUGUCUUAAGUCUUACUGUCUUAACAAUAUUACAGAUCAUUGUUCAAAAUGUUCAAAUGAAAACUAAGUGAGGGACACUACCACUCUCAACUCACACAAAAGCACCAACACUCCCAGCAAACAAAUGACCACCCCUCAGCCACCAGUACCCUCAUCUGCAACUUCAGAUUCAUCCAGGAACAAAUUCUCAAAGGCAUCUUCAAUUUCCUUGUUAUCAGUAGCUUGAUGUUGCUCCCUCUUUUCUCCUAGCUCCCAGUCCUUCAACAAGGUUAGCAUCUCCACAUGUUCGGGUUUCAAGCUUCGGCGUCGUUCUUCUAGGAUCCUUCCAGAUAAACUGAAACAAGACUCUGAAGAACAGGUGGAAACAGGAACUGACAUGAUAUCUCUGGCCAUAAUAGCCAGGAUGGGAUAGGUUAGUUUGUGAUCACGCCACCAUAGGAUAAUGUCAAAACCAUCCUCAUAAGAAGUUAUGCAGUCGCUGUCCAAAUAGCUUGCAAGUUCAGAAGCAGUAGAUUGAGAAGAAGAACUGGCAGUUGAAGGACCAGGUAGAUCUGAUCCUCCAAAAAUUCUCCCCCAAGCUUGUUUUCUCUUACCAGUGACUGGGGUAGGACCAGCAACUCUUUGAUUCCUAGAUGCACCAUACUUUCUCAAAUAUUUCUUAAACAAUUUAUGCAACUCAGUUUUCACAUCAGCAUAGUAAGCAGUGUAAUCAGUACCACUACAUUCAUGAAGUAAAUGGAGGACCCUUUGCAUACCUCUGAGCUUAGCUCUAGGGUCAAGAAUGAAUGCAAAUAAAUAUAACAUAGGAAUGUCCUUCCAAUACUUAAGAAACUUACUUUGCAUAGGAAACACAAAGGCUCUCAGAUUAAGAUCUCUUUCACAAGCAUGUAAAUGAGUUGCAAUCUCCAGAACAUGGUGCAGAACAAGAGGACUGGUAGGAUAAUAAACACCAGAUAGUGUAACAGUACAGUCAUAAAAGAGUUCCAGGAACUCCAAUAUUUUCUUAGCCACAUGCCAAUGAGCUUGAGACAACAGGGCACUACCAUAAUUUGAAUUUAUGAACACAGAAAAUACUUCACGAUAAGGAACCAAAUGUUUAAGCAUGAGAUAAGUUUAGCAAGGCAACCUUUAGCGUGCCUAAGAAUAUGACCAGUACCAGCAGCAGAUCUACCACUCAAAACUUUUUUACAAAUCUUCCAGAUAGCUUUAACACGCACACGAUUACCAUUUGUCAUCUCAAAAACCUCAUCAAAUGUUUCCCAACACUUAGACCGUCGCUUACCACAUGUACCAGAGGAAGGAGUAGCAUUACCAUCACCAUUACCAUUAACACCAGUGCUCAUGGUGUGGGUGUUGGAGUCCACCGCAUCGACGGGAUCGACGUCGUUCACGGGAGGCUGUGACCCGCCGCCACCGGAUGCGUCGACAAACACAUCAAAGGGGUCACGGCCGUCAUCGUCCCUCUCCGGGGACAGCCCAGCAGUGAUGAAGUCGUCAUUCCCUGUCCACUCGUCGCACGUCGUCGCCAAGGGGCCCUCGGCCGCGGACGGCUGUACUCCUCCUCCUCCAGCACCAUUCCUCAACGGUGCGUGGCCACGACUUGGCCGCGGUGCCAUUGCCUUAGCCCGUCGUCUGUCUACGCCACCAAGGCUAGUUGACGACGAGGCAUCGGCAACAGACCUGCAAAAAGAACAGAUCUAGGGUUAGAUUAGAAUGGGGGAAAAGAAAAAUGACGAAGAAGACGAGAUCUAGGGUUAGAUCUUACCUACGCAACCGGAGCCCGGUGCCGGAGAAGACGAGGUUAAGAAGGACGACGAGCGACUACGGAACGGAGACGGGGAGGCGGACUCACAUGCUCAUGGACAGGAUAGAGGAAGAUGGGAGACAGAUAGGGAGAGGGAGGCAGGGAGCAGGGAACUCAGGGAGAGAGGCAGAGAGCCGACGGCGACGGGCCGACGGCGAUGUCACCAGAUCGAAGGACGACGGCGGCGAAGGAGUCAAGAGGAGGAGCCGAGGAGGCGAGCUGACCGAGCUCUGAGCUCACAGCUCCGAUCCGAGACUGAGAGCGAGAUGCCGAGGUGCGACUGGCCGACUCCGAGUCUCCGACUGCGAGAGCGAGUGGGCGACGGCGGCUGCGGGUGGGGAAUAGGGUUAGGGUUUGGUGAGGGCGAGGGACGCGCGGGGGGGAGGGGAAUUUAUAUGGGGAUGCGGGGAGCCGGGGGCCGGGGGGAGGGGAGGUGGGCUGGCGCUGGCUGCUGGCCUGCUGCCUGCUGGGCCGCUGGGGAUACGGACCGGUACCGGACCUGGCUUUAAUUGGCGGGCCGUGCCGUGCCGGCCUGUGGGCCUAGAGUGCGGCCCAAGCACGGCCUGCACCAUAGUGUCGUGCCAGCCCGGGCCCAAUGAACUUCGGGCCGGGCCGGGCUAGGGCCGGGCCAAAAGAACGGGCUUCGGGCCGUGCUAACAGGCUCGGGCUGCAUGCCCAGGUAUAUAUGUACCUUUUAUAUUCAGCCCAUGGGGCACAAUGGAAAUCAAGCAAUGAAUUAUGAAGAAACAAUUCUAGUCUCCCUCAAUCUCUCAAGCUCUUGGCAAAGCAUAAGGCCUAGUUAUCCCAAAGCUCUUGGCAAAGCAUAAGGCCUAGUUAUCUAUCUCCCAAAUAUCCACCGCGUUCAUAACAUAUGUGGUGAAGGAUUUAUUUUGUUUAAACAUGUGAACUUUGUGGAUUGUGGUUAUUGAACAUGUUGGAGUUAGUUUGGAUGUAUGUGAACUUAGUUUGGAGUAUUUGAACUUGUUACGAUGGACAAAGUGAUGGAAAUAAUCAUUUAUGUGGUAUACAUUGUCAUCGAUGUCGAUUAUGUGAGCUAUAGGCUCUUGGAUGUGAAAUAUAUGAUUUUCUGGAAAUAUAUAUGUCAUAUGAUCAUCUCAGUGGAAAUUGGAUGAAAAAAUAGAAAAAAAAAAUAUUUUGGUCGAUUUGUCGAGAGGGGCUCUCGGCAAAGCUGAAAAAGUGAUCGAUUUGCCGAGAGGGGCUCUCGGCAAAGCUGAAAAUGGUCGAUUUGCCGAGAGCAAGGGCC
rnacentral:lncRNA from 1 species